ACUGGCUAAAUUCUCUAGGAUUCAUUGUCAAGAAGAAGAGGAGGAAAAAACAGAUUUUUUUAAAAAAAGAUUCCAAGAACAAAUGCAAAACCUGAUAACAAAGAAGAUGAGUUCCACUUGGACCCAAGAAGUAUGGAGGGGUCUCUCUGAAGCGUGGAUGUGUGGCAGUGACCCUAUGGAGGUGCUUGAAUUCAGCCCUUCCACCCAAAAUGGAAGAGACCCUCUGGACCAAGUCAACCCCUUAUCUCCAGUUUUCAGAGACUUUGUUAGAGGACAGGGGUAUCCAGAGAAAUCAAG